UACGUAGGGCGCAAGCGUUAUCCGGAAUUAUUGGGCGUAAAGAGCUCGUAGGCGGUUUGUCGCGUCUGCCGUGAAAGUCCGGGGCUCAACUCCGGAUCUGCGGUGGGUACGGGCAGACUAGAGUGAUGUAGGGGAGACUGGAAUUCCUGGUGUAGCGGUGAAAUGCGCAGAUAUCAGGAGGAACACCGAUGGCGAAGGCAGGUCUCUGGGCAAUAACUGACGCUGAGGAGCGAAAGCGUGGGGAGCGAACAGG
rnacentral:rRNA from 1 species